AGCCCGCUCAGAAACUCAAAGGAAUUGACGGGGGCCCGCACAAGCGGUGGAGCAUGUGGUUUAAUUCGAUGAUACGCGAGGAACCUUACCUGGGCUCGAACGUAAGAUGACUGUAGGUGAAAGCUUACAUCUCUUCGGAGCAUUUUACGAGGUGCUGCAUGGUUGUCGUCAGCUCGUGCCGUGAGGUGUCGGGUUAAGUCCCAUAACGAGCGCAACCCCUAUUGCUAGUUACCAUCAUUAAGUUGGGGACUCUAGCGAGACUGCCAGUGAUAAACUGGAGGAAGGUGGGGAUGACGUCAAAUCAUCAUGCCCCUUAUGACCUGGGCUACAAACGUGAUACAAUGGCUGGAACAAAGGGAUGCGAAGCAGUGAUGUGGAGCGAAACCCAUAAAAACAGUCUCAGUUCGGAUUGAAGUCUGCAACUCGACUUCAUGAAGUCGGAAUCGCUAGUAAUCGCGGAUCAGAACGCCGCGGUGAAUACGUUCUCGGGGUUU
rnacentral:rRNA from 1 species